CCUGUAAGACUUGGAUAACUCCCGGAAACCGGGGCUAAUACCCGGAUGGUUGUUUGAACCGCAUGGUUCAAACAUAAAAGGUGGCUUCGGCUACCACUUACAGAUGGACCCGCGGCGCAUUAGCUAGUUGGUGAGGUAACGGCUCACCAAGGCNACGAUGCGUAGCCGACCUGAGAGGGUGAUCGGCCACACUGGGACUGAGACACGGCCCAGACUCCUACGGGAGGCAGCAGUAGGGAAUCUUCCGCAAUGGACGAAAGUCUGACGGAGCAACGCCGCGUGAGUGAUGAAGGUUUUCGGAUCGUAAAGCUCUGUUGUUAGGGAAGAACAAGUACCGUUCGAAUAGGGCGGUACCUUGACGGUACCUAACCAGAAAGCCACGGCUAACUACGUGCCAGCAGCCGCGGUAAUACGUAGGUGGCAAGCGUUGUCCGGAAUUAUUGGGCGUAAAGGGCUCGCAGGCGGUUUCUUAAGUCUGAUGUGAAAGCCCCCGGCUCAACCGGGGAGGGUCAUUGGAAACUGGGGAACUUGAGUGCAGAAGAGGAGAGUGGAAUUCCACGUGUAGCGGUGAAAUGCGUAGAGAUGUGGAGGAACACCAGUGGCGAAGGCGACUCUCUGGUCUGUAACUGACGCUGAGGAGCGAAAGCGUGGGGAGCGAACAGGAUUAGAUACCCUGGUAGUCCACGCCGUAAACGAUGAGUGCUAAGUGUUAGGGGGUUUCCGCCCCUUAGUGCUGCAGCUAACGCA
rnacentral:rRNA from 2 species